rnacentral:rRNA from 1 species
UACGGAGGGUGCAAGCGUUAUCCGGAUUCACUGGGUUUAAAGGGUGCGUAGGUGGGUUUGUAAGUCAGUGGUGAAAUCUCCAGGCUUAACCUGGAAACUGCCAUUGAUACUAUAGAUCUUGAAUUAUCUGGAGGUCAGCGGAAUAUGUCAUGUAGCGGUGAAAUGCUUAGAUAUGACAUAGAACACCGAUUGCGAAGGCAGCUGGCUACAGGUAAAUUGACACUGAGGCACGAAAGCGUGGGGAUCAAACAGG